GAGCACAGGCUGAGCAGGGCCUGGCCAGCCAACUAAAGACCUUGGCUUCCGCCUGAGCAAGACAGGCGCCACGGGAGGGCUCUGACCCGAGCAGCACCAUGAUGCCUCAUGACCAGUAAGAAGGUCCUCUAAUGUGAGCACAGACUGGAGGGUGCAAGGAAGGAGGAGGAGGAAGCUGCGGUGAUGCGGGAAUGAGAAGUGGAUCAAUGCCAAUGGUGUUAGUGACCGUGUUGGAACCACAGUGAUGCUCCGGGACGAAGAUAAGCCUGUGAUGCUGCGGCUCUUGCUCCGAGGAGCAAAGGUUGCCUGUGUGGGGCCUGCAGGGGGAAGGUCCUGUCCCAGGGAAGAAGGCUUUGGAAGAGGAACGGAGGAGGAAAUUUGGGCUCUAGAAAUCUAAGUGGAACACACCGCUGGUUUCAAACACGCUUUUCUUCUCUGUGACUUCCAAGACAGGUUUUCACUCAGGUGUCCCUUGGUGCCUUCAAGGUCAUCAUGUCUAAAGCCAUCACCUCUGCUUGGCUGCUCCUCGGCAAAGGCCCCUCAUCUCCAGGAGGGGACGAGAGCUGCGUGGACUCCCAGGUUCAACAGAGCUUUGGAAAUCGCUCUUGCACCCUCUCCUCUCCCCCAACACUGAGUCAGGUAGCAAACCACCAGUUCCUCCUCCUGAACACGCCAGCCUCCCGCGGCGGUGGCUUGCUUUCGUGGCUUUCAUCCAGGGCCUCAUCAUCUCACAGUUGGCGAGUUUUCAGUUGGGAAGGACCAGGUCG
rnacentral:lncRNA from 1 species